UACGUAGGGUGCGAGCGUUAAUCGGAAUUACUGGGCGUAAAGCGUGCGCAGGCGGCGGCUCAAGUCAGGUGUGAAAUCCCCGGGCUUAACCUGGGAAUUGCGCUUGAAACUACAAGGCUAGAGUGUAGCAGAGGGGGGUGGAAUUCCACGUGUAGCAGUGAAAUGCGUAGAGAUGUGGAGGAACACCGAUGGCGAAGGCAGCCCCCUGGGUUAACACUGACGCUCAGGCACGAAAGCGUGGGGAGCAAACAGG
rnacentral:rRNA from 1 species